GACGAACGCUGGCGGCGUGCCUAAUACAUGCAAGUUGAGCGAUGAAGAUUGGUGCUUGCCCCAAUUUGAAGAGCAGCGAACGGGUGAGUAACGCGUGGGGAAUCUGCCUUUGAGCGGGGGACAACAUUUGGAAACGAAUGCUAAUACCGCAUAACAACUUUAAACAUAAGUUUUAAGUUUGAAAGAUGCAAUUGCAUCACUCAAAGAUGAUCCCGCGUUGUAUUAGCUAGUUGGUGAGGUAAAGGCUCACCAAGGCGAUGAUACAUAGCCGACCUGAGAGGGUGAUCGGCCACAGUGGGACUGAGACACGGCCCAAACUCCUACGGGAGGCAGCAGUAGGGAAUCUUCGGCAAUGGACGAAAGUCUGACCGAGCAACGCCGCGUGAGUGAAGAAGGUUUUCGGAUCGUAAAACUCUGUUGGUAGAGAAGAACGUUGGUGAGAGUGGAAAGCUCAUAAAGUGACGGUAACUACCCAGAAAGGGACGGCUAACUACGUG
rnacentral:rRNA from 1 species